AUAGGGGAGCCGAAGGGAAACCGAGUCUUAACUGGGCGUUAAGUUGCAGGGUAUAGACCCGAAACCCGGUGAUCUAGCCAUGGGCAGGUUGAAGGUUGGGUAACACUAACUGGAGGACCGAACCGACUAAUGUUGAAAAAUUAGCGGAUGACCUGUGGCUGGGGGUGAAAGGCCAAUCAAACCGGGAGAUAGCUGGUUCUCCCCGAAAGCUAUUUAGGUAGCGCCUCGUGAAUUCAUCUCCGGGGGUAGAGCACUGUUUCGGCUAGGGGGCCAUCCCGGCUUACCAACCCGAUGCAAACUGCGAAUACCGGAGAAUGUUAUCACGGGAGACACACGGCGGGUGCUAACGUCCGUCGUGAAGAGGGAAACAACCCAGACCGCCAGCUAAGGUCCCAAAGUCAUGGUUAAGUGGGAAACGAUGUGGGAAGGCCCAGACAGCCAGGAUGUUGGCUUAGAAGCAGCCAUCAUUUAAAGAAAGCGUAAUAGCUCACUGGUCGAGUCGGCCUGCGCGGAAGAUGUAACGGGGCUAAACCAUGCACCGAAGCUGCGGCAGCGACGCUUAUGCGUUGUUGGGUAGGGGAGCGUUCUGUAAGCCGUUGAAGGUGUGCUGUGAGGCAUGCUGGAGGUAUCAGAAGUGCGAAUGCUGACAUAAGUAACGAUAAAGCGGGUGAAAAGCCCGCUCGCCGGAAGACCAAGGGUUCCUGUCCAACGUUAAUCGGGGCAGGGUGAGUCGACCCCUAAGGCGAGGCCGAAAGGCGUAGUCGAUGGGAAACAGGUUAAUAUUCCUGUACUUGGUGUUACUGCGAAGGGGGGACGGAGAAGGCUAUGUCGGCCGGGCGACGGUUGUCCCGGUUUAAGCAUGUAGGCGGAGGUUCCAGGUAAAUCCGGUACCUUAUUAAACGCUGAGGUGUGAUGACGAGGCACUACGGUGCUGAAGUGACAAAUGCCCUGCUUCCAGGAAAAGCCUCUAAGCAUCAGGUAACACGAAAUCGUACCCCAAACCGACACAGGUGGUCAGGUAGAGAAUACCAAGGCGCUUGAGAGAACUCGGGUGAAGGAACUAGGCAAAAUGGUGCCGUAACUUCGGGAGAAGGCACGCUGAUAUGUAGGUGAAGUGAUUUACUCAUGGAGCUGAAAUCAGUCGAAGAUACCAGCUGGCUGCAACUGUUUAUUAAAAACACAGCACUGUGCAAACACGAAAGUGGACGUAUACGGUGUGACGCCUGCCCGGUGCCGGAAGGUUAAUUGAUGGGGUUAUCCUCGCGGAGAAGCUCUUGAUCGAAGCCCCGGUAAACGGCGGCCGUAACUAUAACGGUCCUAAGGUAGCGAAAUUCCUUGUCGGGUAAGUUCCGACCUGCACGAAUGGCGUAAUGAUGGCCAGGCUGUCUCCACCCGAGACUCAGUGAAAUUGAACUCGCUGUGAAGAUGCAGUGUACCCGCGGCAAGACGGAAAGACCCCGUGAACCUUUACUAUAGCUUGACACUGAACACUGGUCCUUGAUGUGUAGGAUAGGUGGGAGGCUUUGAAGUGUGGACGCCAGUCUGCAUGGAGCCGCCCUUGAAAUACCACCCUUUAAUGGCUGGUGUUCUAACGUGGGCCCGUAAUCCGGGUUGCGGACAGUGUCUGGUGGGUAGUUUGACUGGGGCGGUCUCCUCCUAAAGAGUAACGGAGGAGCACGAAGGUCAGCUAAUCCUGGUCGGACAUCAGGAGGUUAGUGCAAUGGCAUAAGCUGGCUUGACUGCGAGCGUGACGGCGCGAGCAGGUGCGAAAGCAGGUCAUAGUGAUCCGGUGGUUCUGAAUGGAAGGGCCAUCGCUCAACGGAUAAAAGGUACUCCGGGGAUAACAGGCUGAUACCGCCCAAGAGUUCAUAUCGACGGCGGUGUUUGGCACCUCGAUGUCGGCUCAUCACAUCCUGGGGCUGAAGUAGGUCCCAAGGGUAUGGCUGUUCGCCAUUUAAAGUGGUACGCGAGCUGGGUUUAGAACGUCGUGAGACAGUUCGGUCCCUAUCUGCCGUGGGCGCUGGAGAACUGAGGGGGGCUGCUCCUAGUACGAGAGGACCGGAGUGGACGCAUCACUGGUGUUCGGGUUGUCAUGCCAAUGGCACUGCCCGGUAGCUAAAUGCGGAAGAGAUAAGUGCUGAAAGCAUCUAAGCACGAAACUUGCCCCGAGAUGAGUUCUCCCUGACUCCUUGAGAGUCCUGAAGGAACGUUGAAGACGACGACGUUGAUAGGCCGGGUGUGUAAGCGCAGCGAUGCGUUGAGCUAACCGGUACUAAUGAACCGUGAGGCUUAACCUU
rnacentral:rRNA from 2 species